rnacentral:rRNA from 1 species
UACAGAGGGGGCAAGCGUUGUUCGGAAUUACUGGGCGUAAAGGGCGCGUAGGUGGCCUUCUAAGUUGAACGUGAAAUCCCUGGGCUCAACCCAGGAACCGCGUCCAAGACUGGGAGGCUUGAAUCCGGGAGAGGGAUGCGGAAUUCCAGGUGUAGCGGUGAAAUGCGUAGAUAUCUGGAGGAACACCGGUGGCGAAGGCGGCAUCCUGGACCGGUAUUGACACUGAGGCGCGAAAGCCAGGGGAGCAAACGGG